rnacentral:rRNA from 1 species
AUUGAACGCUGGCGGCAUGCUUUACACAUGCAAGUCGAACGGUAACAGGCCGCAAGGUGCUGACGAGUGGCGAACGGGUGAGUUAUGCAUCGGAACGUGCCCAGUCGUGGGGGAUACCGCAGCGAAAGCUGCGCUAAUACCGCAUACGAUCUAUGGAUGAAAGCGGGGGACCGGAAGGCCUCGUGCGAUUGGAGCGGCCGAUGUCAGAUUAGGUAGUUGGUGGGGUAAAGGCUCACCAAGCCAACGAUCUGUAGCUGGUCUGAGAGGACGACCAGCCACACUGGGACUGAGACACGGCCCAGACUCCUACGGGAGGCAGCAGUGGGGAAUUUUGGACAAUGGGCGCAAGCCUGAUCCAGCAAUGCCGCGUGCAGGAAGAAGGCCUUCGGGUUGUAAACUGCUUUUGUACGGAACGAAACGGUCCUGGUUAAUACCCGGGGCUAAUGACGGUACCGUAAGAAUAAGCACCGGCUAACUACGUGCCAGCAGCCGCGGUAACAC